rnacentral:rRNA from 1 species
UUAGCGGAGGAAAAGAAACCAACAGGGAUUGCCUCAGUAGCGGCGAGUGAAGCGGCAAAAGCUCAAAUUUGAAAUCUGGCGUCUUUGGCGUCCGAGUUGUAAUUUGAAGAAGGUAUCUUUGGGCCCGGCUCUUGUCUAUGUUCCUUGGAACAGGACGUCACAGAGGGUGAGAAUCCCGUGCGAUGAGAUGACCCGGGUCUGUGUAAAGUUCCUUCGACGAGUCGA